rnacentral:rRNA from 1 species
GACGAACGCUGGCGGCGUGCUUAACACAUGCAAGUCGAACGGUGAAGCGCCGUCCUUUUUGGUUGGUCUGGAGGAGUGGCGAACUGGUGAGUAACACGAGAGUAACCUUCCCCCUUCUUCUGGAUAACCGCAUGAAAGUGUGGCUAAUACGGGAUAUUCUGCUUCUUUCGCAUGAUGGGUCUGGGACGGAUUUUGUUUCGGUAGGCGAUGGGUUCGCGGCGUAUCUGCUUGUUGGUGGAGUGAUGGCCUACCACGGCGGUGAGGGGUAGCCGGCCUGGGAGGGUGGACGGCCAGAGAGGGAGUGAGACACCGAGAAGACUACGACGGGGGGCAGCAGGGGAGAAUAUGGCACAGUGGGCAGAAGGCUGAUGCAGCGCCGCGGCGUGAGGGAUGGUGGCCUGCGGGUUAUGAACCUCUUUCGGGGGUGAAGCAGUCUUGCCUGGUUUGUGGGUGGGUUGACGGUAGCUGGUAAAGAAGCGCCGGCUAACUACGUG